rnacentral:misc_RNA from 1 species
UGGAGACACGGUGCCGGUUAAUGGCCGGCGGGGGCGACCCUAGGGAAAGUGCCACAGAAAGCAAACCGCCACGAUCCGUCGUGGUAAGGGUGAAAGGGUGGGGUAAGAGCCCACCGCGCGACUGGCAACAGGAGCGGCACGGUAAACCCCACCGGGAGCAAGACCGAAUAGGGGCGGUGCGAGGGGAAACCCUCGAGGGCUGUUUCCGGCUCACCGUCCGGGUAGGUUGCGUGAGGCGCAUGGCAACAUGCGCCCAAGAUGAAUGGCCGCCACGUUCUCGUCCCGCAAGGGGCGAGGG